rnacentral:lncRNA from 1 species
UCCACCACCACCAGUAAAAUCUCCUCCACCUCCAUAUUAUUAUCACUCACCACCACCACCCAUCAAAUCCCCACCACCUCCAUACUACUACCAUUCUCCACCACCUCCGGUCAAGUCUCCUCCACCACCAUACUACUAUCAUUCACCACCUCCUCCGGUGAAAUCUCCUCCUCCUCCUUACUAUUACCAUUCUCCACCUCCUCCGGUGAAGUCUCCUCCUCCACCUUACUACUACCACUCUCCACCUCCUCCGGUGAAGUCUCCACCCCCUCCUUACUACUACCACUCCCCACCUCCUCCGGUGAAGUCUCCACCCCCACCUUACUACUACCACUCUCCACCUCCUCCGGUGAAAUCUCCUCCCCCUCCUUACUACUACCACUCCCCACCUCCUCCCGUGAAGUCGCCACCCCCUCCUUACUACUACCACUCCCCACCUCCUCCGGUGAAGUCUCCUCCUCCACCUUACUACUAUCACUCCCCACCUCCUCCGGUGAAAUCUCCACCACCACCAUACUACUACCACUCACCACCUCCUCCGGUGAAAUCUCCACCACCACCAUACUACUACCACUCACCACCUCCUCCGGUGAAAUCUCCACCACCACCAUACUACUACCACUCACCACCUCCUCCCGUCAAGUCUCCUCCUCCACCAUACUAUUACCACUCACCACCUCCACCCGUGAAAUCUCCUCCUCCACCAUACUACUACCACUCACCACCUCCACCCGUGAAAUCUCCUCCUCCACCAUACUACUACCACUCACCUCCCCCACCAGUGAAAUCACCUCCACCACCUUACUACUAUCACUCACCACCCCCACCUGUGAAGUCUCCUCCUCCACCAUACUAUUAUCACUCACCACCCCCUCCAGUCAAAUCUCCACCACCACCAUACUAUUAUCACUCACCACCCCCUCCAGUCAAAUCUCCACCACCACCAUACUACUACCAUUCACCACCUCCUCCGGUGAAAUCCCCACCACCACCGUACCAUUACAACUCUCCACCACCACCAGUAAAAUCUCCCCCACCUCCAGUCUACAUCUACGCUUCUCCCCCACCUCCUACCCAUUACUAGGCUCGUCAAACUCAGCAACAUUUCCACAUUAUUCAAGUAAGUUCCAACCCUCCAAUACUUUCAAUAUGCUCCAUAUCCAUUUCGAUAAAACUUUCCACUAAAAUCUCA